AUGCGAUAAGUAAUGUGAAUUGCAGAAUUCAGUGAAUCAUCGAAUCUUUGAACGCACCUUGCGCUCCUUGGUAUUCCGAGGAGCAUGCCUGUUUGAGUGUCAUUAAAUUCUCAACCUCACCAGUUUUGUUAUGAGACUGUGUAAGGCUUGGAUGUGGGGGUUUUUGCAGGCUGCCUCUGUGCGGUCUGCUCCCCUGAAAUGCAUUAGCGAGUUCACUAAGCUCCGUCUAUUGGUGUGAUAAUUAUCUACGCCGUGGAAUGGGUUUAGACUUGCUUCUAACCGUCUGCAAAGACAACUUUUGACAAUUUGACCUCAAAUCAGGUAGGACUACCCGCUGAACUUAA
rnacentral:misc_RNA from 1 species